GCCCUCAUAGCUCAGUGAAAGAGCCACAUCCUUCUAAGAUGAGAGUCCCAGGUUUGAAUCCUGGUGAGGGCG
rnacentral:tRNA from 1 species